rnacentral:sRNA from 1 species
ACAGCCUGAACUUACAAUGGAAAGGUUGCAAUGAUAAUGGAUCCAAAAUAAGCAGCUUUCUAUUGGAAUGGGAUGAGGGCAUAGGUGAAGACUUCAAAAGCUGUUACACUGGGCCCCUG